UACGUAGGGAGCAAGCGUUGUCCGGAAUCAUUGGGCGUAAAGCGCGCGUAGGCGGCCCUGUAAGUCCGUUGUGAAAGUCAAAGGCUCAACCUUUGAAAGCCGAUGGAUACUGCAGGGCUAGAGUCCGGAAGAGGCGAGUGGAAUUCCUGGUGUAGCGGUGGAGUGCGCAGAUAUCAGGAGGAACACCAAUAGCGAAGGCAGCUCGCUGGGACGGUACUGACGCUAAGGCGCGAAAGCGUGGGGAGCGAACAGG
rnacentral:rRNA from 1 species